UACAGAGGUCUCAAGCGUUGUUCGGAUUCAUUGGGCGUAAAGGGUGCGUAGGUGGCAUGGUAAGUCGGAUGUGAAAUCCCGGGGCUCAACCCCGGAACUGCAUUCGAUACUGCUGCGCUAGAGUACUGGAGAGGAGAUUGGAAUUUACGGUAUAGCAGUGAAAUGCGUAGAUAUCGUAAGGAAGACCAGUGGCGAAGGCGGAUCUCUGGACAGUUACUGACACUGAGGCACGAAGGCCAGGGGAGCAAACGGG
rnacentral:rRNA from 1 species